UAGCAACCUAGCCUAGCUGAACCACUAUGUAAUCAACGUUAGUUGGUGGUCGUGUGUUUUCAAGUAAAAGGUUAGCUAGCUGGCUACCUAUCUAGCUAAUGUCGUAUAUUCGUCUCCGUAAAAUAUAUUGGUCGACUGAGGGAAUAAAUCCACAACCUGUAACAAGGGUUUCAUUUGAGACAAAUCGACUUUGACAAGAAGUUAUCGACGACGGAUAACGUUUGCUAACUACUGUAUUGUAGCUAAUUAACUGUCAAACGGGACGAGGUGAGUGCAGCUUUAUCAGGAUACACCAAGAAGUGGAAAAGCGACUACACGCUGUUGGAUCAGAAGAUAAAUAUAUAUAAAUAUAUAUUUUUUAACCAAAUCUCUGGGACUGAGGAAUCUAAUUGUUGAAUAUUUGUCGCCACACAUUCUUCCACUGACGUAGCUAGAAAAUCUUCAGCUUGUAUAGUCAGCUGGCCAUGUACUUUAGAAAGUACCUAAAAAUAUUGUAGCUAAAUAGCCUAGUAUAAUUUCAAUGCUUUGUGUAUGCUACUUUCAGAAAAGCAGGUUUUUCUUGUCUAGUGUACUCUAAAGACGAUUGGAUUCUGACCAAAGCAAAGAUUUUCGGAUUACAACAAAAAGGUACUAUUUUGGCAGUUGGUGGAUAAUCACUUUUUAUAAGAGGAAAGUGUAAUUGAGGAAAACAUGUAGCCGGUAACUCCUCUCGUUGGAAUUUUUCUUUGGGCGUUGGGGUUACACUCUACCUAUCGGAGCGACGUGUGUCCUUAGGUACACACUCCCUCUAAAAUAUCCUUCUUAGUGAUCUAACCGCAAGGAGUUGAUUUGACUCAUUUUAUCUAUUGUACUAGCCAGAUUACAGUCUAACUAAAACUGACGAUACAAUCUCAGAACUAUCGCAAACAACACUGUUGGUAUUCUCAAUAACCACUAAUCUCAGUUUAAAGUCCAGUCCCACUUGAGAAAGCUAAAUUUGGGGAGGCAGCAUGACAGCUGUCUUAGGACGGGUUUGGGGGUGGGUACGUCCGACUGUCUCCUACCGCCCCUGGGGCAGCAGAGCAGCACCUGAUAAAACCACGGGUGGCAAACUGGUCAAAGACGAGGGGCAAGCGAAAGGCAGCUGGGGCUUGGGGAGGAUAACAACCUGGGUUUGGGGAGACGGACAGAAAAGGCAAACGAGUGACCAAACAACAGUUAUUGACCAGUACUGGGAAGCGAGUGAGGAGAAUAUACAGUCCAUGGAAAUUGAAGAUCUCUGCGCUGGCAAGCAUGAGACUGAUGGGAAAGCAGAACGUGUUGGAUCCAGGUGGUGGAAUAAGGUUCUGCCGUACCCCUCAGGCUUUCUUUGGCCAAAGGCAACUGAACCCGGUGGGAUCAGGCAGAGGAAAUGUGUCGGGGGUGGAUGGGACACUGAAAAUGACGGGGAGUGUUCUGACUACGGAACCCCUCCGCCUUCUCCAACACCCACCUCCUCCUCGUCUGCGUUUCGUUUUUUCGAACGCGCCUGGAACGGGGAGAUUGUUCCGGAACACUAUGAGAUCUGCUUUAACUUCCUUCGCCACCUGUUUGACCUGUUUGUGGUGGGUUUCUUAUGGACUGUCUCCCCCCCCACCAAGUUGGUCCUGGAGGUUCUUGGGAUCCAGGGGGGUUUGAAGCUGUGGCUGCACGGAAUGGCCAUGUUCUUCGUCUCCACUGUGGGAAUGGCUGGAUUGCUUUGGCUGGUCCAGGAGUAUCUCCCUCAGUUUGCUCUGGUGUAUGGCAUCGUGCAAGCACUGGUGAUCUCUGUCAGCGUCCGGCAGAGUGUGAUCCUCGGAGAGGGGGUUGAGGAAGAGGAAGAGGAGAAGGAAAGGCAAAAGGAAACGGAGGAAGAGGAAAGGGAUACCGGCGUGAGAGAUGAAGGGGAAGUUCCAGAGAUGUACCUGACAACAAAGGAGUACAUCAGAAGACAGAUGAUUCAUUAAUGAAUGUUUGUUCGUUAGGCAGUCAAACUGACAUGGAGCCAAGGAUUGAGAGAAGUUAUGUUUCAAGAGCCAACCAAUGCGAAACGUCACAACCAGAGCUGUGCGGUUUGCAUUGAGGAAACUGAGAGGCUGGCGGACUUUAAACUUACAUUUCACCUCAUAACUGUGGUAGUUAGUAGCGCUGACAUCAAAGCACAUACACUUUAUGUCUUGGUCACAAAGGCUCAGUGAUAAGUUUUAUAUUUCACCUCAGUUCUGCUGGGGAAAAGCACAUCCACUACAAACCAGUGUCUAGUCGUAUCCACAAAGCAUAUGAGAUUUGUCCAUAAUGUUAAGUUCUUAACUGCAAACUGAACUGUCAGCACUACUACUCCUAGAUGCUUUUGGAUGUGGACCCUGGGCAUAACAGCACAACUAUAACACACUUUCCUAUAUUUUAGUGUAGUUCUAUUGUUCUGCCUUGUUAUAGAAUCCUGAUUCUCCCUGAAAUACUUGUUUUGUGACUUAACUUAAAGCCAAUGAAUCUUCAGUGGACAUUGCAGGACGACAGGACAGAGUACCAGCAGCAUUUCUGCAAUUCUUUUCAAGCAUUCUUUGAUGUUCUCUGUAGAAGAUAUGUUUCAUUUGCCUUUGAGGUUUCCUGUGCCAUAGUAACAUGUGUACUGUGUAGUACAACUUUUAUUGUUUUACUAUAUUAUACCUUCUUAAUGGUACUCAUGUAUUGACGUUUUUGUCCCCUGUCUUCUCACAAUUAUGGUUCCUGUUUUUAAAGGUAGCCCUACAGCCUUACAGAUCCGAAUUACUAGAGUAACCAUUUGAAAAGAUACUUAUUUUAUUUUUAAAAAUGUGGUGUUAAAAUUGUCCAGUUGCAAAUUUUGCACAAGCCCAUACAAAUCAACAGUGAAUCUCAGGAAAUCGAAAUUACAUCAGCAAGUAUUUCUGUCUGCGUGUAUGCCACAAUAUAUGCAUGCAUAACAGGGACCUCUGUCAAAGCGCACCCGUGUUAUGGAGGCUUUGAAAAACAUUUGUUUCUUCAAUGGCAUUUUUAAGUUGUUUUCGUACGGUGGCAAAACGAAUAGUUGUCAGAAUGUUCUAGUGUGGUAAAAACGUCUACCCUCAUGAUGUACCGAUAAUGGGACCGUUGAAAGUGAUACUAAAUACACAAUUCUUCUUUGC